rnacentral:rRNA from 1 species
UACGGAGGGUGCAAGCGUUAUCCGGAUUUACUGGGUUUAAAGGGUGCGUAGGCGGGCUUUUAAGUCAGCGGUGAAAUCUCCAGGCUUAACCUGGAAAUUGCCGUUGAUACUAUUAGUCUUGAAUUAAGUUGAGGUGGGCGGAAUAUGUCAUGUAGCGGUGAAAUGCUUAGAUAUGACAUAGAACACCGAUUGCGAAGGCAGCUCGCUAAACUUAUAUUGACGCUGAGGCACGAAAGCGUGGGGAUCAAACAGG